CAGAUGAAAUGGCAUUUUGCCGUCAAAUCUGAUUUCCCCUUUAUUUAAACCUUGAAGCAUUUUUUUCUGGCUUCUGAACAUCACUUCCCAGUUAAUCGACCUGCAUCGAUUCAGUUCUUUUCACCCUCUCUCACAAUGUUGCCAUCAAAUCUGAUUUCCCUUGUCUUUCAUGGGUUAAACGUUUAGCUGAAAACUUUUCUCCACUUUGUCUUCUGUUUCUGUCUGCAAUGUUUGCCUUCUUCGUCUCAAUCUCCUCCUCUGUUUCUGCUCCGUCUCCUCUUUUCCACCUUUAAUUUCCUUUCCAACGUCGUAAGUGAGAUUCUCACUCAACGUCUGUCAUCUCGGAGGCAAACGUCUUAGUUUUCAUCUUCCUCAUAAUUAUGUGGUGAGUUCUGUUUAAAAACUGUAACCGUGCUAUUUAUUACAUGAACAUUCAUAUUUGCAGUUUCCUCCAUUAAUGGAAUUUAUAGCCAUGUAACCCUUUAUUGCUUAUAGUUUUCUUUUUGCAGUUUAUCACGUAAUCUAAAUCAGUCACUUACUAUUUCCUUUCAGAAUAUUAUCUGUUGAAUUUUCUGUACACUGUCCUAGUGUUUUUUUAACAUUAUAUAUAUAAUUAUCAUUAUCACAUUAUCAAAUUGUGGCAUAAAUAAUUUGCACGCUGGAAUAAAAUUAUCACGCAUUUAAGAAGACCUGCGAGUGCACCUUAUUCAUAUUUUAUAUAUAUAUAUAUAUAUAUAUAUAUAUAUAUAUAUAUAUAUAUAUAUAUUUGGCAUGUUUAUGUGUGAAAGCAUUAAAAUACAUAUUUAUGAGUCUUAAAAGUUAUUCUUUUUAUUCCAUAAUAUUAUGUUUCCGUUCAUUUUGGUAGCUCAGGAUUUAGUCAUUAAACAAGACUCCACAUGUAAAUAACAGAUGAACGAUUUUUGGGGUGUGGAUUAAGAGGCAUUUGAUUUAGACAAACUGUCCAAACUGCGCAAUAUUAAAAAAAUACGAUAUACAAACUAUAUAUAUAUAUAUAUAUAUAUAUAUAUAUAUACACACACACACACACACACAUAUACAUUGAAUUCAUAACAGGUAAUAAAUACAUUCAACCAUGACAGGUGCAUUCUGUGCUGAGGUAUACUGCCAUAGAUCUCUUAAAAGAUUUUAGAUUGAAUGAAGAUUUGACUGUGUCCCUGGGGUUAUUCCAUAAUUGCGGUGCUCUGUAGGAAAAUGAGGAGCGAGCCACCUUAUUUUUGUAUUGCGGUAUGCUUAAUAUCGUGCUGGUACUGGAUCUGAGGUUAUAGGAGUUGGGAACAGCUGGGGAGAGCAUUAUACUCAGGUAGGGUGGGAGCUUAAGAAAUGCUCUUAUGCACAAGGCUGGAAGUCAGUUUAUCAGCACGUAUGAACCAAAGCACCACUAAACAAUUAUGAUUUAACUUGGAAAUGAAACAAUUAUCUUGAGAUAUCCCUGGCACUAUAACUAUUAGAGGAGGCUUAGUAUGUUCAUUUAAACAUGCAAUCUAAGCAAGUCAAUCACAACAGCACACUGUGAUGAUAAUGGUGCCAUAAGUUAACUGCCACCACCCUACAGUAGGAAGUUAAAACGUUUGUGAAGAUCUUGACAAUAGCCUGUGUCCAGCUAGUUGCCCACAGUACUUCUAUUUACCGCCAUACAGCUACACUGGAGUUUAGGAUUACAAUUUAUCCUUGUUGUGUUUGAACAAGUUUUCAGGUCAUUUAUUGGCUGACAGCGAGUGAAUGAUCUCACAUCUUCCACAAGAUUGACAUCUUUGUUAGUUUUUUGGAGGAGACCGGUUGUGGCAUGGGUGUCCAGUAGUACACAAGUAAGAGUCAAAUGAAUUGCAAAUUAUUUGACUACUUACAGUGGUAUUGUGUUAGGGGACUUCUGGCGUCAUCACCUCUACACCAUGCUCAAGUCCUUAGAGUGACAUUUAAAUUAUAAUUAAUUUUAUUUUCAACCUAAAUUUGAAGGUGAUGCUCCAAGCACCACAGCAGCUUAAAGGCACUGUAGUGGUUAUAGUGAUAGGCUUACCCAGGUGCCAUCUCACAGUAAAGUAUCAAAACAACAUAUAGAAAUGAAUAAGUGAAUUAGGAUGAAUAUUAGCUAUUUAUACAUAUUGUACAAAAGAUUUUUUUGUGUGUUUAAAAAAAAUAAAAAUAAAAUUAUUCAAUAACUGCACUAAACACCACAACUGCUACAGCAGUCAUUCAGGUUUGAGUACCUAUUAAAAAAAAGGAAAGUUCAUACUCUGCAUUAUCAUACCAGCUCAUACCAGCUUUCAACAAGAGUAACAAGAUAAGAGCUAUUACCUGAUCUACAAAUAAAUACUGUCUAAACCUGUCUACUGUGUUUUAACUACUGUAUGAAUAAAUAUUUAAACUGUAUAGUGGAUCAGCAUUGAAUGGAAUAUGAUAUAUUUUAUAAUGCAAUUCAUGUUUUCUGAACACUUUUACUCUGAUUAUAGUAUGAUAAACAUAAAAUGUUAGGGUACAUUUGAACAGUCUUUGAGUUUAUCUCACAUCAUCUAACUCAUUCAUUUAAAAAAAGUAUGAUUGAUUUAGAAAAUAUUCCUAAUAGUAGUUAAAUUUAACAAAUUGCUUAAUCUGUCAUUUUCUUUUUCAGAUUGCCUAAAACAUGCAUAAACUCUGGUUCUAUCUUGUGUGCAUCAACCAAGAACAAAGACUAAACAAAUCAUCCAACUUACAAAUGUCUCCUAUAGGUACCAAGAAAAAAAUGUGGUCACUUUCUGUGUUUCUUAAUAAAAUAUAUUCGCAG